UCGAUCCCCUACCACUCGAAAAUAUCUCCACUUUUCGGUCAUGCUAUCGAAUCUUCUAUCCACUCUUAUGCCUUUUAUCUAGAGAAUAAGAGAAUCAAAUCUAGUGAUUCAAAUAUGAGAGAAAGAGAGAGAUAAAGGAUAUUCGUUGUAGUGAGAGAGAGAGAGAGAGUCGUUGUCGUUGUAGAGAGAGAGAGAUAGAGUUGUUCUGUCACAUCCCGACCCUUAUAUUUUUACCUUAUUUACUAGCGCUAUGAUAAUAAGAAUUUUACCGUCUUGAUCAUGAGUAAAUAGUUUAAUUGGUUCCUAGAGGGGUUUCGGGGACGAUUAUGUGCGGAGGAUUAUUCGUAUGAUGAAAAUACGAAGACGGUAAAAAUAGUAAAUUUUAGCUAGUAAAAGGUAAUUUUUAUUCGGGUAUUAUUUUUCGGGGUGUUUUUAUUUUGGAAGUUUGGGUUAAAAAGGGGUGUUGGGUCGGCUGGGCCGAGCCCAACCCAUUUCUUUCUUCUUUCUCUUCUCCCUCUCUCCCGAUUCUCUCUCCUCCCACCCGAUUUUCUUCUCUCUACACCCAGCAGAAUUCCGGCCGUCCUCCCGCCGCCGUCCGACCUCCGUUCGCCGCCGGACCGGUCCCGUUCGGUCGGUCUCCCUCCCAGCAACAUUUCUAGACCGGUGAGAGGAGCCCUAGCGCCGCCGUGAGAGAGCGGUGCCGCCCGAAAGCAAGGGCUGUCCCGAACUUCCCUUCGCCGGAAUUUCCUCCUCCGGCCACCAAUCCGGGCAAGCUUGGUACGGUUUUGUAGCCCUCCUCCCGUGCAACAACCCCUCCAAGCAGCUCCCUCCCUCUUGAGCUAGGUAAGGAGAAAUGUGGAGUUGAAAUUUCUAGGCUUUUAAGUUAUUUUCGUUCGAUUAUCCUAGUUAGGCUUGGAAUUGGGUGAUGUGUUGGUCAUGAAAGUUGUAGAGGAGAUUGAGAGGAAGAUUCUGUUAAAAUUUGGUAGCAUUUGCAGGUCGCCGGAAAACGGCUGCCGGCCGCCGCUGCCGGCGGAGCCGCCGCCGGUUAGGAGAAUUUUAUGGUUUUUGAUGUAGAAUAUUAAGGGGAUAUUAUUGAAGUGAAUUUUGGAAUUUUUGGAUGAGAUUUGGAUAGGUUUGUGAAUUUCCGAAGUGUGGUAUUUUUGGCGGUUAAUUAAUGUAGAAUCCGGCCGUAGGAUUUAAGUCGUAUUUUGAGGAGGUUAUAUUUACGACUGUGGAGUAUGAUAUUUAAGUUCGGAUCGUUCCGAUUUAAGAACAUCGAAGUUAGGCAAUGAUGAGCGUAUUUAUGGCUCUCGGGUAAUUUUGCCUAUUUUGAUUAAAUAUUGGAUUAUUGGUUGGGAAAUUAAUAUUUCAUUUGGAACAGGACGUGAGGAGGCUCGAGCAGACGAGACCCCAGAUCGACAGCAGGCUUAGGCCUAAUUUGUGAGUGGACUUUUGUUUUAAAUAAAUGCAUGCUAAGUUCACGAUUGAAUAAUUAAUGUCGUGGAGUAUUUUGCCGUCAAUUAAUUUUGACGCUUUUAUUUCUCUGAGAGAGAGUUACCGAAAAUGGGAUUUUCGGUGAAUAUANNNN
rnacentral:lncRNA from 1 species